CGACCUUUGUUCGGACGCUUCUUUGGAGAGCCCAGAAGACAUUGAACAAAUUCUUCCGGACUUUCGAUGCCGGAGGAGGACGGCUUUGAUGACGAGGAUUAGGAAAUAGUUGACAACAUAACGAGAUGAAAGCGGGGAGCAGAAGGCGGGGGCACGGACAUGACCACGUUGAGGCGCAUGACGAAAAUGACGGCGAUCGAGGCCUGUGGCACAUACUCCUGCCGCCGGCGCGCACUCAGGUGGCCAAUGUGUGAGUUUUUUCACAUGCCGGACAUUUCGUCAUGCAGCGCGUUUGUGCUGUUCACGGAGAUCUACCCUCGUUUGUGCUGUUCACGGAGAUCUACCUUGAGUGGAACGUGAAGAAAAGCUACAAGCGCCGACUAUUUCUUGAGGAACUUGGCAAGGCUCUAAUUCGGCCAGAAGUCCUAAAACGGGAACCACCGCCUUCUGCCGAAGGCUUGGUUGAGCAGCGAGCUGGACCCCCGUCCAAGCGCAAACAAUGUGGCCUUUGCACAAAGCCACUUCGGGCUUCGAACAUAAUAAUAAAUAAUAAUACAUUUUAUUUAUAACGCACUUUACAUUUGAACAACAAAUCUCAAAGUGCACAUCAUGAAUUGUGUAUGUUGUUAUUAUGUUAACUGUUAUAUUGUAUGUAUGUUUUGUAAAAUUGUUAACAUAAAUUCUAUCAUCAAAUCA